rnacentral:sRNA from 1 species
GCCAGGUGUGGUGGUGUACACUUGUAAUCCCAGCAACUUGGGAGGCUGAGGCAGGAGGAUUGUGAGUUCAAAGCCAGCCUCAGCAAUUUAGUGAGGUCCUCAGCAACUUGGCAAGACCCUGUCUCUA